GUCCACGCUGUAACGAUGAGCACUAGGUGUCGUCCCUUAGGGUCGGUGCCGCAGUUAACACAUUAAGUGCUCCACCUGGGGACUACGACCGCAAGGUUGAAACUCAAAGGAAUUGACGGGGCCCGCACAAGCGGUGGAACAUGUGGUUCAAUUCGACGCUACGCGAAGAACCUUACCAAGGUUUGACAUGCUAGUGGUAGUGAAGCGAAAGCGGAACGACCUCGCAAGAGGAGCUAGCACAGGUGUUGCAUGGCUGUCGU
rnacentral:rRNA from 1 species